CUCAACUAUGGAGCUUUCUCUUCUUUAUUAUUCUAAUGUUGUUGAUAUUGGAUACAAUGUUUUCAAUGGUGGAGACUGUAGCGUCUGUCAUCUUCGAUGAAUACCCCUCCCUGCUGAGAUGGAGAAACACCGUGACGUUUGGCUACUGUUUCGGUUCCUUUCUGCUGGGAAUUGUAAUAACCACAGAGGGAGGAAUGUACAUCUUCCAGCUACUAGACUGGUACAUGGCCGCCAUCUUCCUGUUCUUUGCUGGUUUUCUUGAAUGCAUUGUACUGGGAUGGAUAUAUG